AAAAGAGUACGUUGCAUUGUAAUUUAUUUUACUGAGUUGUUGAAUCCCAUCAACCUGUGGUUUUGGCGCUGGCGAUUCGAAUAUUUCAAAGAUAAGGUUCCAAGCUAUUGGAGUAGGCUCCCACGUCGAAGGUUGGGUGUUAAACCUUACAGUACUGCCAAAAUUCCCCGGCCAACCAUUGUAGCGAACUUGUUGGCCAGCGUUGUUUAGAUACAAGAGGAGGCCAUCAUCUCCAAGCACUAAGCUGUACUUUCCAUCGGAGCCAUCAACAUCAGAAGUUCGACUGACAAGCUUGUUUACGCCACUCUCGCGAAGGGACUGCCCAACUAGUAACGAAUCAACUGGAUAAUCAAAGCUUUGCCAAAUGAACUUUCCCUUUGUAUCAUACAGCACAAGGUUGCCAUUCUGGAGUAAUUUGAUGCCCGUGACACCCUUGUUAGCAGUGUUGGUUUGCCACACUAGGCUGCCGUCAGAGUCGGCUAGGACCAGGUUUCCAUCCCGGCCGAAAGAAAGGGUGGCGUUUUCUUUCACGGGGUGGUUGCGGUUGGCAUCCCAAACCCACCGCAUUAGGCCCUCGUCAUCUGGGAUGCCAACACGAAUGCCAAGCACGAAAGAAGCUGGGGUGGUGUUGUAGAAACACAGUCUGAAGGGGAAUGUGUAGAAAUCAUAGACAUCAUUGGUUAUGAUGCGAUAAGUUGCCCCAUAUUCAGCUGUGGGUACGAAAUUUUGGAAUUCUCCCAGUGGACCUGUGUUGACAAUUUUGAAGGUAUUGUUUGUUGGCACUUGAGCUCUGGUGCUAAUGGCCAAGAAACAGAGGAGGAGGAGAAUGCUAAGACAGGGUGAAAAUGGAAAGGUACGACGAGCCAUUGGAAUUCUUUUUGUGCAAUAAGGAAUAAAGGGCAAGCUAAUCAGUUGGAAAUGGAAUGAGAGAUAUGAAGUGGGUUGUAACCAUUUGGUAUUUAUAGAUUUUUUUUAUUGGCUUUUCUCAGGGAGUUGGUUUGUGGAUAGGAAAAUCAACUCGACGGUUUUUCUAGUUUUUCUGCAUACAAUUGUUGAAAUUUGAAAACUGAUUAAAAAAAUAUUGAAAUUUGAAAUUUGAAUUUCAACGUCAAAGUUGGUAACCUGCAAACAAGAUUGAGCAUCCAUCUAGUAACAUAGUAUUAUAUAAUUUUGUUCUAUGUCGUAGUGGUUGUCAAAUGAUUAUAUAAUGUACAACACAAUUUUUUAUAAGGGAAAACGAAACAAAUAAUCCCUUACAUAUUACUUAUUUAACCAUUCACUUACAUAAAAAUGCAAAUUCAUACUUUAAAUAUAUAAGGGAUAAUUUCAGAAACCUCCCCUGAGGUUUCUAAUAAUUUCACAAAGCUCCCCUUAAUAUUUCAAAAUUACACAUACCUCCCCUAUUGCUGUAAAAGUACUCUACUACCCCUAUAUAGGAUACUUAAUGACUUUUUCUUUUUGGAAAUUUCAGAAAUUUCAAGAAAAACUAAAAUUGACUUAUCUCUCUCUCUCUCUCUCUCUCUCUCUCUCUCUCUCUCUCUCUCUCUCUCUCUCUCUCUCUCUCUCUUUUCUACCUUAAUGUGUCUUCCAUUUCCUUUUUUGCUAAAUUCCUACCACUCAUUCCUCUCUACCUAAUAUUUUUCCUCCAAUUCAUGACCAAAUUCUAUCUAUUAUCCCUUGCCCAUAUUUAUCCCCCUCAUUGCCUUCUUCUUCUUCUUCUUCUAUCUCUAUUCAAUCUCUUUUUUGCAAAUAUGAUCAAGUUCAUCCUUUUUAUCCUUUUAAUUCUAAGUGUAAUGGGUUUGAUUUUUUUGAGUCUAUUUAUUUUAUCCAAUGUUGGUUGAUUAUGGGUGAUAAAACUUAGUGAUGUCAAAAGUCAAGAAUUUGAGGGAUGGAUGUGCUUUAGAAAUGGGUUGUUGAAAAAAAAAAGAGGCUGCAAAAAGAGAAAGACGAAAGAUCUGUGCUAUUGAUUGUGGAUGAAGUGUUAGUUUUGGGUAAAAGUUUGAGAUUGAGUUUUAUCCAAUUUAGCACCAAGUGACGGAUUUAAUUAAAUUGUGUAGUAAAUGUAGGGGUUGGGGUUAUUGGACAUAAAUUAGGUUAUAGUGUUUUGAGUGCUAGAAUUAUUGAAAUUUAUUUUGAUUUAAAUUGGGGUGUUUGCUUGGCUUUUGGGGUGGAGUUGUUUGGAAGAAGGCAAUCAUCAUAGUUGAAUUUUUUUCCUAACUUUUAUUUUUGGUAGAAAGAGUUUGUUGGCUUUGGUGUUGGAAGAAAAGCAAUCAACAAAGCUCUUUUAUUUUUCCUUUUUAUCUUUUUGACAAAAAGGAUAGUUUAGGAUAUUUGAAGGAAUUGGUAGCCUAUUGGACCUAUUUUGAAGCAUAAAUAGUGAAAGCAAGGGAGGUGUGUGUAAUUUUUGAAACCUAAGGGGAGCUUCUUGAAAUUGUUAGAGACCUCAAGGGAGGUUUCUGAAAUUAUCCCAAUAUAUAAAUUGCAUCAUGUUUGUCUGAAAAUUCAUUUUAGGAGAUUUUUUUUUUACCUGAAAACGCCAUGUGGCUACCAAAUGAUAAUAUUUCAAAGAUAAAAAAGACAUUACAUACUCAUGAUUUAUCCAUUUUUUUUCUUUUUUUUCCUCCUCUGUUUUUGCUUCACCAACAUUCAAACAGCAAAUCCUAGAUCCGCCACCAUAGUCCGCAAUUUCCAGAUAACAAACACUAUCAAAUAUUGUUUAAUAUCCAGAAAUCUCAGUUUUUAUUAUAGUGUCAUUUUUCUUUCACAAACAUCUUAUUCUACUUCUUUUUUAUUUCCUUAAGUUCCAAUAACUACUAACAUUGUAAAACACAAAUUUAAACAUACCAAAAAAAAAUAUCACUAAAAAAAUGAGAUUUUUAUGAAUUUUUUGUUGUACUUUUUGUUUUUCUAUUAUAUUAUACUUUUUUAAUAUGUUGAAUUUUGUGUUUUACCCUUUAGUAGUCAUUGAAACUUUAGGAAAUAAAAUAAAAUAUUUGUAAAGGAGGAAUGACAAAAUAAUUAAAGAUGUGACAUACGAUAAGAGAGGUAGGAUACAGUGGGUCAUAAUAUGCAAAAAAAUGGCAAGUAUUAAGCUACUAAAAAUAAAUGGUAGAAAGAGAAAGUCCACUUUUGGAAGUUUGAAGUCAAUAUAGCAGCUGAGUCGGAAAAAAAAAAAAAAAAAGUCAAUAUAGCAGCCUGUAGAUGUGCUGUAAUCCCCUUAGAACCGGGCUCCGUGUCGUCUUCACCCUUCACUAAUUAGCAACUUGGGCACAUUGCAGACAAAUCUUUCCUCUUUGCCUUUGGGGUUAGAAGAUGGGAAAACACGUCUGCUUCUUCUAUACUUCUGGGCUGUAACGCAGCAGCAUUUAGCAACUGUAAUGAAGUUAAUAAAGUUUAACAAAAGGAUAACAUCAAGGUUUUAGACAAAUUAUCCUAGAUUCAAACCUUCCAGUUGCCUUAACCAUAAAGGACUUUUACAUCUUUGGCUCCCGGUUUGAGUGCGCUAGGCUCAAAGAUUGGCGAAGAACGUUUGGCACGGUUAAAUUGAAAACCAGCAUUAAAUGCUGACAGUCCAUUUUGUAUCCAUUCCAUUUUUUUUUGUUGGAUCCAUUUUGGUUCGCUUUUGCAUGGGUGCAAUCUGUAGCUAUAGAUGCUGAUGCAGAUCAGCAGAUGGAUGCUUCCAGUUCCAUAUUGGAUGAAUUGUGAUCAAAGUAUUAAUAUAUCCUUAUGGCUUUGUUUCAUGUUUACCUGCUUGGCAAUGAGAAAAGCCAUGCACGGCUUUCUUUAUUUGUUGAGAGAUUGAUCACAUCAAAACCAAGAGAUUGAUCACCUCAAACCGCGCAUGAUUUUUAAUUUAUCAAGUCAGUCAGGAAUUGUGUGGUAGCUUUGUGGGCUGGGAAAGUGGGAAUGCGCCAGAAUUUGAAGAUUGGUUGUGGUCCUGUGGAGUGGACCUGCGCGCAUCGCUAGCUUUGAGUGAUUGGAAAAGGCGGGCGAAUGGAUAAAUAUUGAAUACAUGCAUGCAUGCUAUAAAGUCAUUAGCAAUCAAUGUCAAAUAGUCCUUGCAGAAGACUUGUGGGUUCCUCUCUGAUGUCUUGGACCAUUUCGAUAUGUGUUCUUUGAACAUAAUUGUGUGCUUAUCAUUAAUGGCAUGUAUAAUCUUUCUUUCCUGUCUCUUUUUGUUCUGCGCGCAAGAAUGAUCAACGUCGACAAGUUUGCUUGCGGUUGGUUGUUAGAUGCACGAUUUUGAUUUACUUAUUUAUUUUUGGUAAAUAAAAGUUUGAUUUUAAAGGAGAGGAACAUAGUUCAGGCUAAGGCUCUGUUUGGUAUGAUGUAAAGUAUUUUCCUUAAGAAAAUAUUUUCCAUGGAAGUUAUUUUCUGGGAAAAUAUUCACAUUUUUCAAUAUUUUCUGAUGUUUGGUUGAAAUUUUUAACUACAUUUUUAUUAUCAAAAUUCAACUCCUUCCGCCGCCCGCUUUUCUCUUUCAUCACUGGAAACCGAUCUUCCAAGUUCCUAUCACUAAAAAUAGCAGAACCGCUCAAAAUGGAAGAAUCCAGGUCAAGCAUAAGGACAAUUCAUUGACUCGUAAUUAUUGGCGCCAUAAAAGACAUUACCAAGCUAGACAUAUCAAGACCAUGAAAUGACCGGUGAUUAAGGUCAAUCAAUGAAAGUGAAAGAACAGGCAUAAAUAUCUUCUCAAGUUGAAGAAAUAGGCUCUGUUCUUUUUCGUAUGAUUAGUGCUCUUAUUGACUCGUAUAUGAAAUUUGGUUUAAGGAUCAUAUACCAGCGAUCAAACCACAACCUCAAAGGCAUUAAAACCAAGACAAAUUUGAGCUAAAGAUAUGUAAUUUUGAUUAAGAAAACACUGCAAAGAAAAUUAAAAUGACUGAAGAAAGGCAAUGAGAAUUGAUAAUAAUCCAAAUUGUUAACAAAUUCGUAGUGUUUGCGUCACCGGUAAAUUCAUCAGCAUCAAAGACACGAUGUCAAAGAGAUCGGAGUCAGUAGGGUGAGGCCUUUUUUUUAUUUUGAAUAUACUACAAGCUUUGAAAGUUUAUCAAAUACCUUUAAUAAGCGGGAUGCAUGCAUUUAUAAAAACAAUUUCGGUAAGUCCGGAAGGGAAGUUAUUUUCCACAAGAUAAGCAAAAAUCUUUUACACAGUAAAAUAUUUUCAUUAGUUUUUGUGCAACCAAACACGGAAAAUUAGGAAAAUAUUUUCACUUGAAACAAAUGGACCCGAAAUGAUACUCAUAUACAAUUUUUGUUUAAAACCUUUUUGGAUGAAUCAAUGGGUAUGAAAAGCCGAAUCUGAGGGUUUCAUCAUUAGCUAUUUUGCUAGUUAUUCAACUUGAUUAUCCCUUUAUCCUAAUUUUUUUAUGAAACAAAAUCAAAACAGAAGCAAAAAAAAAUUAGUAAAUAAAUUAAAGGGACACGUAUCUCUCUCACCACCUUCUGUUCCCCUUCCCUUUGUCCCCUCAAAAUCGCCUCAAAGCUAUGUACCUAGUCCGUCUCUAUAUGGGUUAAGCCGGCUUCACUUUAAAUGGAUUUGUGGCCACACAAGUUUCAUUUCAUUCCAUUUCGGAAUAAAAUGAUCUUUUUUAACUUUUGUUAUAGAACCAUAUUUUAAUGCAAUCGGAUCAUAUCUAAUCUUUAAUUAUAUUAUCUUUCCAGCUAAAGGAUAAACUUGUGAGAAAUAGAAUUUGUGAGAGGACUCGUCGUUUAAUUAAAUUUGGCAAGACCAACUUGUGCAGUGAUAUUUGGGAGGAUGAUCCAAGAAAGAGAAUAUAUUAUUAAAGAUAUUUCUAUGAAAGAUACGUUAGGAGAGGCAAGUGUUACCUUUACACAAAAUGAAGUCCCAGAUUUUAAAAAAUUGCUCAGCAAAAACGAACUAAAAUAUUCAUAAACAUGCAAGAUAAUGUAAGUUUGCAGAAAAUUAUAAAGGAAAAGAUGUUUUUUUGUCAGCUUUAAUUGAGAAAAAUAAGAAUAUCAUAUGUAGGAAGAGCUACAAUGCUCGAUUCUAUUAGACAAGCAUUAUUGAUCUAGAAAAUGCUGGACAAGACAUAAAAGUAGGCAUGGGUGCAUUCCGGCUCAAUCUAUCAAAAGGGCCCUCACAGAACAAGGAAAGAAAAAGCAAAAUACCAAUCUGGGCAGCUUGGAUUUAUUGCAAACAGGAUACAAGGCUUACGAUCAAACCAGAGGAGCCAUAAUCAAUACAAUAUUGCAGAAGCUCAACACGAAGCUUCUUUACUCGGUGCAUAAAACUCUCAAAUCAUACUUAAUGCUAUGCUCACAAUUACCCAAACCAAGUUUUAACUUUUAACAGUUUUAUUUUUUUUUUCCUCUUAAGUUAAGGAUUUCCACAAAAUCAAUACUUGACAUAUGCACUAGUGGUGUUGACAUCUUUGGCGAGAGUCAAAAGCACCGGCAUAAGCAAGCACUUCGAAGUGUCUUGCUUGUAGACAAAUCCCUUGCAAUUGCAAUCAUUGGUGCACUUGUCUCUGCAUGCUCCAAAUUCCAUUUCGACUUCUUGACUAUCAGAAGACCACUGGUGGUUCAAGAAGGAUUGCACCCCAUCAAGCUUGAAAUAUUUUGCCUUUGGUUUCUUCCCACACGAGCCCAACUUUGGUGGUUGACAAUUUUCUGUCCAUCCCAAGAGCCCUUUUGGUGUAGGACAUGCCACACACAUCCCAUUUUGGCACAAUCCAAAAUUACCACAUUUUGUCGGCAAAGCACAUGCUGUUGCAAGAUCACUUGGAAAGAAAGUAUAGGUCUGCAUCCAUCUAUCAAAUCUGACUUUGUCAUAGUAAGUAUAAGCCUUGACAUUGCCAUCAGUUUCAAGCCUCAGAAAAGAGUACGUUGCAUUGUAAUUUAUUUUACUGAGUUGUUGAAUCCCAUCAACCUGUGGUUUUGGUGCUGGCGAUUCGAAUAUUUCAAAGAUAAGGUUCCAAGCUAUUGGAGUAGGCUCCCACGUCGAAGGUUGGGUGUUAAACCUUACGGUACUUCCAAAAUUCCCCGGCCAACCAUUGUAGCGAACUUGUUGGCCAGCGUUGUUUAGAUACAAGAGGAGGCCAUCAUCUCCAAGCACUAAGCUGUACUUUCCAUCGGAGCCAUCAACAUCAGAAGUUCGACUGACAAGCUUGUUUACGCCACUCUCGCGAAGGGACUGCCCAACUAGUAACGAAUCAACUGGAUAAUCAAAGCUUUGCCAAAUGAACUUUCCCUUUUUAUCAUACAGCACAAG
rnacentral:lncRNA from 1 species